rnacentral:rRNA from 1 species
UGAGGAAUCUGUCCAUCGGCGGGGGAUAGCCGGCCCAACGGCCGGGUAAUACCGCGUACGUCGGCGGGAGCGCAUGCUCCUGCCGGGAAAGCAGCAAUGCACCGAUGGAGGAUCUCGCGGCCUAUCAGCUAGUUGGUGAGGUAACGGCUCACCAAGGCGACGACGGGUAGCUGGUCUGAGAGGAUGGCCAGCCACAUUGGGACUGAGACACGGCCCAGAUCCUACGGG